UCCGAUGUGGUGUAGUGGCUAGCAUCCGUCGCUCUCAAGUUCCAUGAUCAGGAACAAGGUCCGACGAGACCGGGGUUCAAUUCCCCGCAUCGGAA